rnacentral:lncRNA from 1 species
AUGCGCACACCUGUGCGUCGGAGCGCCAGCGCGGGCGGCGGCGUUCCCACGUUAACCCAGCUCGGGACCUUACCACCACUGAAUUUACGUCUUAUUAGAAACGUCUCAGACUGCUUGGUUCCCACUUCGGAACUCCUCUGCCAAAGCCAUCACCGCGGCGAUGCCGCCAGCACCGGGCUGCCCCGGCAGCGCGCGCGAGGUUCUGCUGGAAGCGCACGGAGCGCUCGGGACCGGCGCAGCGCGCAGCCCCGGAGCGGAGGGAAGCAGCCGGUGCGGCUGCCGGGGCGGGGGGACGGCGGGGCCGGAGGUGCCGCUUAUAGUCCCGCAGAGGUCAACGGGAGGCUCCUUCUGCGCCCCGCCCCUGUCGGAAGGUCGGAAGGAAAGACAGCGAACGAGUUGGGGGGGUCUGCGGAGAUAACAACCACAUGUGGAAAAAAAUGUUGUCUUAGAUUGCAAGGAAGUCACGGAAGAGGAACAAAAGCACAGUUAAUGUGUAACAACUACCAUCGAUGGCAUGAAUUACUGGCCCACCCCCCCCGCGCAGUUUUAGGGCGAGUACGAGGGGCUGAAUGCUGGAGGGGUUAUGUGACCCAGAGGCCGAGAGCGGGAGGAGAGCCUCGAGGCUGCCCGCGGGACUCGCAGAGGACAGGGAGCGUACAGUGCCUGCACGGUCCGAACCCGCGAGAAAACGUCCAGAGGUUGGGGGGGAAAGGGGAGAUUUGGGGAGCAGGCACGGGCAACUUCCGGGAAAGCGGCGGGCCGGCUGGGAAAGAAUCCCGUCCCGUCCCGACCGGCCGCGCACCGCCCCGUCGGGGCCUCUGCACCGCCGAGCGGGGGCUGGCGGCUGCCGCUCUCCUACCUCGGCCUUCGGUCCCGUGCAAAGAAACGGAGUCCGGGCGGGGGACGACCCCGGCAAGGCCGGCACACGGGAGAGAGGAGACGCGCGGUGCCACCUCCCGCAACCCCGCGCCCGCGGGGACAACCGCACCGCCCAUCGCGCCCGUAACGCCGGGGGGAAAAGCCCGACGCAGCCCUCGCUGCUCUCUGUUGGUGUUUACAACAGAAAACGUAAAGCAGCAACGAAGUGGUUUCCUGAACGUCCUUUGGACGUGCCAUUGUUAA